UAACCCGGGGAGGUCGUUCAAUACUGCGGGACUUGAGGACAGCAGAGGGAGCCGGAAUUCCCGGAGUACCGGUGAAAUGCGUAGAUAUCGGGAGGAACACCAGUGGCGAAGGCGGCCUCCUGGGCUGUUUCUGACGCUGAAGACGAAAGCUAGGGGAGCGAACGGGAUUAGAAACCCCGGUAGUCCUAGCCGUAAACGAUGGAUGCUGGGUGUGGGGGGUAUAGAUCCCCUCCGUGCCGAAGCUAACGCGUUAAGCAUCCCGCCUGGGGAUUACGGCCGCAAGGCUGAAACUCAAACGAAUUGACGGGGGCCCGCACAAGCAGCGGAGCGUGUGGUGUAAUUCGAUGAUACACGAAGAACCUUACCUGGGCUUGACAUGUAGGUAGUAGUGCAGCGAAAGCGGUACGACCCUUCGGGGAGCCUACACAGGUGCUGCAUGUCUGUCGUCAGUUCGUGCCGUGAGGUGUCGGUUUAAGUCCCGUAACGAACGCUACCUUUGCCCUUAGUUACAUGUGUC
rnacentral:rRNA from 1 species